AUAAAGUUGUUGGAUUUAUAGUGUGUUCCAUUUGUACUCGGAAGUCAGAUUUCCCAAGGUCAAAGUCGGAAACACGCCCCCUGACCUCGGAUUUUUGAGCUUGGAACUCGGACAACCACCAAGUACCCCAAGCUACAAAUCCAACAUGGCUGCUUCGUGCAUCAACAGUUGUGAAACCUGUGGUAACAUACAGAUAUAAGCACUUUUGUCCUAUUUGUGUCUUACUAAAUCAGUCAUACACACAGUGCUGUCCAUCUACUAUCAGUGUUGUUGCAGCGCUGC